rnacentral:rRNA from 1 species
CCUACGGGAGGCAGCAGUGGGGAAUCUUGCGCAAUGGGCGAAAGCCUGACGCAGCAACGCCGCGUGCGGGAAGAAGGCUUUCGGGCUGUAAACCGCUUUCAGCAGGAACGAAAAUGACGGUACCUGCAGAAGAAGGAGCGGCCAACUAUGUGCCAGCAGCCGCGGUGAUACAUAGGCUUCAAGCGUUGUCCGGAUUUAUUGGGCGUAAAGAGUUUGUAGGCGGUCGAGUAAGUCGGGUGUGAAAAUUCUGGGCUCAACCCAGAGACGCCACCCGAUACUGCUUAACUUGAGUUCGAUAGGGGAGUGGGGAAUUCCUAGUGUAGCGGUGAAAUGCGCAGAUAUUAGGAGGAACACCGGUGGCGAAGGCGCCACUCUGGAUCGAUACUGACGCUGAGGAACGAAAGCAUGGGUAGCAAACAGGAUUAGAUACCCUGGUAGUCCAUGCCGUAAACGGUGGGCACUAGGUGUGGGAUUCUAUUAACGAAUUCCGCGCCGUCGCUAACGCAUUAAGUGCCCCGCCUGGGGAGUACGGUCGCAAGACUAAAACUCAAAGGAUUGACGGCUUGAGAGUUGCGAGCGACGACGAGGGAGAGG